rnacentral:rRNA from 1 species
UACGAGAGGUGCAAGCGUUAUUCGGAAUUAUUGGGCGUAAAGGGUGCGUAGGCGGCUUGUUAAGUCAAUUGUUUAAUUCCUCGGCCUAACUGAGGGUCAGCAGUAGAAACUGAUAAGCUAGAGUAUGAGAGAGAGGAGUGGAAUUCUCGGAGUAGCGGUAAAAUGCGUAGAUCUCGAGAGGAACACCGAUGGCGAAGGCAGCUCCUUGGUUCAUUACUGACGCUCAUGCACGAAAGCGUGGGUAGCAAACAGG